rnacentral:piRNA from 1 species
UCAACGGCAGCGGUAUAAAUGGUCCUCAC